GGGUGCUGGCUGGGGCUCGCUGGGCCGAGAUGACCCCGCAGGCACCCGGCCGUCCCCGGGCAGGGGCGGGGCGCAUGGCCGGGCUCCCGGCGCCCGGGGUUCGGUCCCACGGGCGGCCCGGGGCGGGGCGGGGCGGCCCCAGGCGGGCUUAGCGCACCGGACAACACUAACGCCCGGGCCAGCAAAUCUUUUGUCCGGGGCGGCGCUGACCCAGCAGGGCGCCGCCCGCUUAUAAAGGGGUCUGCAGCCCGAGGGGCGGGGACACCAUGGCGCAGUGCUCCGGCAAGAUCACCUUCUAUGAAGGCAAGCACUUCACGGGACGGAAACUCGAGGUCUAUGGGGACUGUGACAACUUCCAGGACCGAGGCUUUAUGAACCGGGUGAACUCCAUCCGCGUGGAGAGCGGAGCCUGGGUCUGCUACGAUCACCCCGACUUCCGGGGCCAACAGUUCAUCCUGGAGCACGGCAACUACCCUGACUUCCUCUGCUGGAACGGCCACAACGACCACAUGGGGUCCUGCCGGCCCGUGGGGAUGCAUGGGGAGAAUUUCCGCAUGGAGAUCUUCGAGGGGUGCAACUUCACCGGCCAGUGCCUGGAGUUUCAGGACGACUGUCCCUUCCUGCAGAGCCGGGGCUGGGCCAAGAACUGUGUCAACGCCGUCAAGGUGUAUGGGGACGGCGCAAAUGUUUGCCCUCAGUUGAAGGCCUCUGGGAAUCCGGGGGUAGAAUUCCAGAACAACAGUUUGCCUGAAAAACGACCGGCUAAAUUAUGUCUCGCGAGGCCAGAGUCAUACCUUUGCGAGGAAGGUGUCCUGAGACCCCAGCCACAGUCCCCCAACACCCACCCUGGGAAGACUCCAGGGGCCUCUUUAGGAAAAGGGGGCGGGGGAGGGUGGGAGCUAAGAGUUUUGAGUGCAGGGGCCCGGGGUCUCCCGGAGCUCCCGCUUACUCAGCGGCUGUGUAUGGCCAGCCCCACGUCUCACCCAGGGCUCUGCUCUCCUCCCUACGGGGGUUCACCCUUUGCUCCUGUGACUACCUUUAAAAAAAAAAAAAAAAGUAAGCCCUUGGCCAGGGUGAUGGCCUGGACCACCGGGUCUGGGGGUGGUGACCUCCGUCAAGCCCUUUCCUGGGGUCUGAUGGGGAGCCUCCAGGCAGGUCUCCCUACCACCUCCCAGACACCAGCCGCGGUGUUCCACUGGUUCCUGAGUCAGCUCAGGAUCGACCUGUCCCCACAGACACGGGUUCUGGGGGGCAUUUGGAGGGAAAUGUGCCAGGUCGCUCUCCCUACUUCCUGCUACCCCCCUAAAGAGCACAGUCCCUGCUGUGGAUGGGCCACGCCCCCUCCUCCCUCCCUCUUCAUGCCUGGUCCCCAAAGUCACAGCAGGAAGCCCGGGAGACGUUUACUGCAGAGGCCCAGCCUGUCCUUCCUCUUCUUCCUUUUGGGGACUCCUGCAUAUACGCCCCGAAACCUUGGGCCUGAGCCACCCACGGGCAUGAGGAGGGGGAGGAGGGGGGAGGGGCAGGAAGGCUAGGGGUGUGGGGAGGCCAGGGUGAGCCAGGUCUGCCCUGAGCUCCCCAGCGGCUCACGUACUGGGCCUCUCUCUUCAUUCCUGACCCCUGACCCUUGUGCGGACUGCGCCAGGAGCCAGAUGUGGAGUCGGGAUGGGGCAGGAAGGGGGUGGCCGGGGAAGCUGCCCUAAGCAGGCGACUGGGGGGUGGGGUGGUGGUGAGGGGGGUGGCGUGUGACUUGGGCAGUCACUCCCUUCUCUGGGCGGGCUGGGCUCAGAAAUUCUGAGUCUGUGUCUCAGCCAGGAGAAGGCUCCUUCAGCAGCCGAGUGCUUUGGGGGGGGCGAGGGCCACAGUGGGGUUCGCUGCAAAGACAGAGUCAGGGCACCCAUGGCCUGGGCCGGAAGGACCCCAGCGACCGGAUCGGGGCGUGUAGCCCCGCUUUGCUCCCCGCGGUGGAAGAGCCAAGGGUGGGUCCUGUACGAGGAGCCCAACUACCACGGCCGCAUGUACCUGGUGGAGCGGGGUGACUUCCGCAACUACUCGGACUGGGAGGCCCACAGCUCUCGCGUCCAGUCGGUCCGCAGGGUGGUCAACUUCUUCUAGCGGCAGCCCCUUCCGGCCCCACCCUGGGCUCAGACCCUGAGGAAUAAAGAUCAUGGAAAAGGA